GAUGAACGCUGACAGAAUGCUUAACACAUGCAAGUCGACUGGAACUUCGGGGUAGGUGGCGGACGGGUGAGUAACGCGUAAAGAACUUGCCUCACAGAUAGGGACAACAUUUGGAAACGAAUGCUAAUACCGGAUAUGAUGAUUUUAGGGCAUCCUAGAAUUAUGAAAGCUAUAUGCACUGUGAGAGAGCUUUGCGUCCCAUUAGCUAGUUGGAGAGGUAACGGCUCACCAAGGCGAUGAUGGGUAGCCGGCCUGAGAGGGUGAUCGGCCACAAGGGGACGGAGACACGGCCCUUACUCCUCCGGGAGGCAGCAGUGGGGAAUAUUGGACAAUGGACCAAUAGUCUGAUCCAGCAAUUCUGUGUGCACGAUGAAGUUUUUCGGAAUGUAAAGUGCUUUCAGUUGGGAAGAAAAAAAUGACGGUACCAACAGAAGAAGUGACGGCUAAAUACGUG
rnacentral:rRNA from 1 species